rnacentral:rRNA from 1 species
UGUGAACUCGAAGAGUAGGGCGGGACACGUGGUAUCCUGUCUGAAUAUGGGGGGACCAUCCUCCAAGGCUAAAUACUCCUGACUGACCGAUAGUGAACCAGUACCGUGAGGGAAAGGCGAAAAGAACCCCGGCGAGGGGAGUGAAAAAGAACCUGAAACCGUGUACGUACAAGCAGUGGGAGCACCUUCGGGUGUGACUGCGUACCUUUUGUAUAAUGGGUCAGCGACUUAUAUUCUGUAGCAAGGUUAACCGUAUAGGGGAGCCGAAGGGAAACCGAGUCUUAACUGGGCGUUAAGUUGCAGGGUAUAGACCCGAAACCCGGUGAUCUAGCCAUGGGCAGGUUGAAGGUUGGGUAACACUAACUGGAGGACCGAACCGACUAAUGUUGAAAAAUUAGCGGAUGACUUGUGGCUGGGGGUGAAAGGCCAAUCAAACCGGGAGAUAGCUGGUUCUCCCCGAAAGCUAUUUAGGUAGCGCCUCGUGAACUCAUCUUCGGGGGUAGAGCACUGUUUCGGCUAGGGGGCCAUCCCGGCUUACCAACCCGAUGCAAACUACGAAUACCGAAGAAUGUUAUCACGGGAGACACACGGCGGGUGCUAACGUCCGUCGUGAAGAGGGAAACAACCCAGACCGCCAGCUAAGGUCCCAAAGUCAUGGUUAAGUGGGAAACGAUGUGGGAAGGCACAGACAGCCAGGAUGUUGGCUUAGAAGCAGCCAUCAUUUAAAGAAAGCGUAAUAGCUCACUGGUCGAGUCGGCCUGCGCGGAAGAUGUAACGGGGCUAAACCAUGCACCGAAGCUGCGGCAGCGACACUAUGUGUUGUUGGGUAGGGGAGCGUUCUGUAAGCCGUUGAAGGUGGCCUGUGAGGGCUGCUGGAGGUAUCAGAAGUGCGAAUGCUGACAUAAGUAACGAUAAAGCGGGUGAAAAGCCCGCUCGCCGGAAGACCAAGGGUUCCUGUCCAACGUUAAUCGGGGCAGGGUGAGUCGACCCCUAAGGCGAGGCCGAAAGGCGUAGUCGAUGGGAAACAGGUUAAUAUUCCUGUACUUGGUGUUACUGCGAAGGGGGGACGGAGAAGGCUAUGUUAGCCGGGCGACGGUUGUCCCGGUUUAAGCAUGUAGGCGGAGGUUCCAGGUAAAUCCGGUACCUUUUAACGCUGAGGUGUGAUGACGAGGCACUACGGUGCUGAAGUAACAAAUGCCCUGCUUCCAGGAAAAGCCUCUAAGCAUCAGGUAACAUCAAAUCGUACCCCAAACCGACACAGGUGGUCAGGUAGAGAAUACCAAGGCGCUUGAGAGAACUCGGGUGAAGGAACUAGGCAAAAUGGUGCCGUAACUUCGGGAGAAGGCACGCUGAUAUGUAGGUGAAGCCCCUGCGGGUGGAGCUGAAAUCAGUCGAAGAUACCAGCUGGCUGCAACUGUUUAUUAAAAACACAGCACUGUGCAAACACGAAAGUGGACGUAUACGGUGUGACGCCUGCCCGGUGCCGGAAGGUUAAUUGAUGGGGUUAGCGGCAACGCGAAGCUCUUGAUCGAAGCCCCGGUAAACGGCGGCCGUAACUAUAACGGUCCUAAGGUAGCGAAAUUCCUUGUCGGGUAAGUUCCGACCUGCACGAAUGGCGUAAUGAUGGCCAGGCUGUCUCCACCCGAGACUCAGUGAAAUUGAACUCGCUGUGAAGAUGCAGUGUACCCGCGGCAAGACGGAAAGACCCCGUGAACCUUUACUAUAGCUUGACACUGAACACUGGUCCUUGAUGUGUAGGAUAGGUGGGAGGCUUUGAAGUGUGGACGCCAGUCUGCAUGGAGCCGUCCUUGAAAUACCACCCUUUAAUGGCUGGUGUUCUAACGUAGACCCGUAAUCCGGGUUGCGGACAGUGUCUGGUGGGUAGUUUGACUGGGGCGGUCUCCUCCCAAAGAGUAACGGAGGAGCACGAAGGUUAGCUAAUCCUGGUCGGACAUCAGGAGGUUAGUGCAAUGGCAUAAGCUAGCUUGACUGCGAGAGUGACGGCUCGAGCAGGUGCGAAAGCAGGUCAUAGUGAUCCGGUGGUUCUGAAUGGAAGGGCCAUCGCUCAACGGAUAAAAGGUACUCCGGGGAUAACAGGCUGAUACCGCCCAAGAGUUCAUAUCGACGGCGGUGUUUGGCACCUCGAUGUCGGCUCAUCACAUCCUGGGGCUGAAGUAGGUCCCAAGGGUAUGGCUGUUCGCCAUUUAAAGUGGUACGCGAGCUGGGUUUAGAACGUCGUGAGACAGUUCGGUCCCUAUCUGCCGUGGGCGCUGGAGAAUUGAGGGGGGCUGCUCCUAGUACGAGAGGACCGGAGUGGACGCAUCACUGGUGUUCGGGUUGUCAUGCCAAUGGCACUGCCCGGUAGCUAAAUGCGGAAGAGAUAAGUGCUGAAAGCAUCUAAGCACGAAACUUGCCCCGAGAUGAGUUCUCCCUGAGACUUUAAGUCUCCUGAAGGAACGUUGAAGACGACGACGUUGAUAGGUCGGGUGUGUAAGCGCAGCGAUGCGUUGAGCUAACCGAUACUAAUGAACCGUGAGGCUUAACCUUACAACGCCGAAG